AACCGCGUUUUUCACCCCAAAAACGUGGGGCCUCCUUUUCGGGCCUCCGCUCGCCCGGGGAGGCCACCGAGGUCUUUUUGGAGGUCCCCAAAUUUUUUUUGGAGGUCCCCAAAUUUUUUGGAGGUCCCCAAAAUUUUUUGGAGGUCCCUAAAUUUUUUUUGGAGGUCCCCAAAAUUUUUUUGAGGUCCCCAAGGUCUUUAUGGAGGUCCCCGGGGUCUUUUUGGAGGUCCCCAAAAUUUUUUUGGAGGUCCCAAAAUUUUUUUAGGUUCCCCAAAA
rnacentral:lncRNA from 1 species